rnacentral:rRNA from 1 species
CGGUAGUGGGCACCUGCCCUGUACUGGGGAAUAAUCAUUGGAAACGAAUGACUAAUACCGCAUGUGGUCCUCGGAAGGCAUCUUCUGAGGAAGAAAGGAUUAUUCGGUACAGGAUGGGCCCGCAUCUGAUUAGCUAGUUGGUGAGAUAACAGCCCACCAAGGCGACGAUCAGUAGCCGACCUGAGAGGGUGAUCGGCCACAUUGGGACUGAGACACGGCCCAA